rnacentral:rRNA from 1 species
AGAGUUUGAUCCUGGCUCAGGAUGAACGCUAGCUACAGGCUUAACACAUGCAAGUCGAGGGGCAGCGGGAUUGAAGCUUGCUUCAAUUGCCGGCGACCGGCGCACGGGUGAGUAACGCGUAUCCAACCUUCCGUACACUCAGGGAUAGCCUUUCGAAAGAAAGAUUAAUACCUGAUGGUAUGAUGAAAUUGCAUGAUAGCAUCAUUAAAGAUUUAUCGGUGUACGAUGGGGAUGCGUUCCAUUAGGUAGUAGGCGGGGUAACGGCCACCUAGCCUACGAUGGAUAGGGGUUCUGAGAGGAAGGUCCCCCANAUUGGAACUGAGACACGGUCAAACUCUACGGGAGCA